rnacentral:rRNA from 1 species
AAGAGGAGCUUGCUCCUCGGAACAGUGGCGGACGGGUAAGUAACACGUGAGCAACCUGGCUCUAAGAGGGGGACAACAGUUGGAAACGACUGCUAAUACCGCAUAACGUAUCGGGAUGGCAUCUUCCUGAUACCAAAGAUUUUAUCGCUUAGAGAUGGGCUCGCGUCUGAUUAGAUAGUUGGCGGGGUAACGGCCCACCAAGGCGAUGAUCAGUAGCCGGUCUGAGAGGAUGAACGGCCACACUGGAACUGAGACACGGUCCAGACUCC